rnacentral:rRNA from 1 species
UUCGGGACAGCGGUGACAGGUGGUGCAUGGUUGUCGUCAGCUCGUGUCGUGAGAUGUUGGGUUAAGUCCCGCAACGAGCGCAACCCCUAUCUUUAGUAGCCAGCAUUUCGGAUGGGCACUCUAGAGAGACUGCCAGGGAUAACCUGGAGGAAGGUGGGGAUGACGUCAAAUCAUCAUGCCCCUUAUGACCAGGGCUACACACGUGCUACAAUGGCGUAAACAAAGGGAAGCAAAGCUGUGAGGCCGAGCAAAUCCCAAAAAUAACGUCUCAGUUCGGAUUGUAGUCUGCAACUCGACUACAUGAAGCUGGAAUCGCUAGUAAUCGCGAAUCAGAAUGUCGCGGUGAAUACGUUCCCGGGUCUUGUACACACCGCCCGUCACACCAUGGGAGUCAGUAACGCCCGAAGUCAGUGACCCAACCGUAAGGAGGGAGCUGCCGAAGGUGGGACCGAUAACUGGGGUGAAGUCGUAACAAGGUAGCCGUAUCGGAAGGUGCGGCUGGAUCACCUCCUUUCUAAGGAA